rnacentral:rRNA from 1 species
UGUGAGCUCGAUGAGUAGGGCGGGACACGUGGUAUCCUGUCUGAAUAUGGGGGGACCAUCCUCCAAGGCUAAAUACUCCUGACUGACCGAUAGUGAACCAGUACCGUGAGGGAAAGGCGAAAAGAACCCCGGCGAGGGGAGUGAAAAAGAACCUGAAACCGUGUACGUACAAGCAGUGGGAGCCUCUUAAUGGGGUGACUGCGUACCUUUUGUAUAAUGGGUCAGCGACUUAUAUUCUGUAGCAAGGUUAACCGAAUAGGGGAGCCGAAGGGAAACCGAGUCUUAACUGGGCGUUAAGUUGCAGGGUAUAGACCCGAAACCCGGUGAUCUAGCCAUGGGCAGGUUGAAGGUUGGGUAACACUAACUGGAGGACCGAACCGACUAAUGUUGAAAAAUUAGCGGAUGACUUGUGGCUGGGGGUGAAAGGCCAAUCAAACCGGGAGAUAGCUGGUUCUCCCCGAAAGCUAUUUAGGUAGCGCCUCGUGAAUUCAUCUCCGGGGGUAGAGCACUGUUUCGGCAAGGGGGUCAUCCCGACUUACCAACCCGAUGCAAACUGCGAAUACCGGAGAAUGUUAUCACGGGAGACACACGGCGGGUGCUAACGUCCGUCGUGAAGAGGGAAACAACCCAGACCGCCAGCUAAGGUCCCAAAGUCAUGGUUAAGUGGGAAACGAUGUGGGAAGGCCCAGACAGCCAGGAUGUUGGCUUAGAAGCAGCCAUCAUUUAAAGAAAGCGUAAUAGCUCACUGGUCGAGUCGGCCUGCGCGGAAGAUGUAACGGGGCUAAACCAUGCACCGAAGCUGCGGCAGCGACACUAUGUGUUGUUGGGUAGGGGAGCG